rnacentral:misc_RNA from 1 species
GAUGAAGAAGUAGCGAAAUGCGAUAAGUAAUGUGAAUUGCAGAAUUCAGUGAAUCAUCGAAUCUUUGAACGCACAUUGCGCCCGCCAGUAUUCUGGCGGGCAUGCCUGUUCGAGCGUCAUUUCAACCAUCAAGCCCUGCUUGCGUUGGGGUCCUGCGGCUGCCCGCAGGCCCUGAAAACCAGUGGCGGGCUCGCUAGUCACACCGAGCGCAGUAAUACAUCUCGCUUUGGGCGUGCGGCGGGUUCUUGCCGUUAAACACCCCCUUUUUACCAAGGUUGACCUCGGAUCAGGUAGGAAUACCCGCUGAACUUAAGCAUAUCAAUAAGCGGAGA